rnacentral:rRNA from 1 species
UGUCGAACGGGGGUUAUUCUUUAUAGCUUGCUAUUAAAGUUAGUGGCAGACGGGUGAGUAACACGUGGGAAUCUGCCUCAUAGUACGGGAUAACAGUUGGAAACGACUGCUAAUACCGUAUAUUUUCUUCGGAAGAAAGAUUUAUCGCUAUGAGAUGAGCCCGCGGUAGAUUAGGUAGUUGGUGGGGUAAUGGCCUACCAAGCCUACGAUCUAUAGCUGGUCUGAGAGGAUGAUCAGCCACACUGGGACUGAGACACGGCCCAGACUCCUACGGGAGGCAGCAGUGGGGAAUAUUGGACAAUGGGCGAAAGCCUGAUCCAGCAAUGCCGCGUGAGUGAUGAAGGCCUUAGGGUUGUAAAGCUCUUUCGGUAGGGAAGAUAAUGACGGUACCUAUAA